UUUUUUUUUGUUAAUGUGGUGUAUGAUGCUGAUUGAUUUGCGUAUGUUGAACCAUCCUUGUGAACCUGGGAUGAACCCAACCUGGUCAUGGUGUAUAAUUUUUUUGAUAUGUUGUUGGAUUCGGUUGGCUAAGAUUUUGUUGAGAAUUUUUGCAUCUAUAUUCAUCAAUGAUAUUGGGCGAUAGUUUUCUUUUUUGGUGGUAUCUCUGUCUGGUUUUGGAAUGAGGGUGAUGGUGGCCUCAUAGAAUGUCUUUGGGAGUAUUCCUUCUUCUUCAACCUUUUGAAAGAGUUUAAGGAGGAUGGGCACCAAUUCCUCUUUAUAUGUUUGAUAGAAUUCACCUGUGAAGCCAUCUGGUCCUGGACUUUUAUUUGUAGGGAGUGAUUUUAUGACCUCUUCAAUUUCAUUUCUAGUGAUCGGUCUGUUCAGUUGGUCUGUUUCUGCUUGAUUCAGUUUUGGCAGGCUGUAAGAUUCUAGAAAAUUGUCCAUUUCUUCCAGAUUGUCAAACUUGUUGCCAUAUAGUUGUUCAUAGUAUUCUCUUAUGGUUUUUUGUAUUUCUGCUGUAUCCGUUGUGAUUUCUCCUUUUUCAUUUAUAAUUUUGGUUAUUUGGGUUCUUUCUCUCCUCUUUUUAGUGAGUCUGGCCAGGGGUUUGUCAAUUUUGUUCACCUUUUCAAAGAACCAGCUCUUGGUUUUAUUAAUUUUCUCUAUUGUUUUUUGAGUCUCUAUUUUAUUGAUUUCUUCUUUGAUCUUUAUAAUUUCCUUCCUUCUGCUGACUUUAGGACUUUUUUGUUCUUCUUUUUCUAAUUCGUUUAGGUGGAGGGUUAAGUUGUCAAUUUGGGAUCUUUCUUCUUUUUUGAGAAAGGCCUGGAUUGCUAUAAAUUUCCCUCUGAGCACUGCUUUCGCAGCAUCCCAUAGAUUUUGAGAGGUUGUGUCUUCAUUAUCAUUUGUUUCAAGGUAGUUUUUAAUUUCCUUCUUGAUUUCCUCAUUGACCCAUUGGUUUUUUAGUAGCAUGUUGUUUAGUCUCCAUGUAGUAGGUUUUUUCUCUUUCCUUUUCCCAUGGUUGAUUUCUAAUUUCAUGGCAUUGUGGUCAGAGAAGAUACUUGAGAUAAUUUCUAUGCUCCUAAAUUUAUUGAGAUUCGCUUUGUGUCCCAAUAUGUGGUCGAUUCUUGAGAAUGUUCCAUGAGCAUUUGAGAAGAAUGUGUAUUCUGCUUUUUUUGGAUGUAGUGUCCUGAAGAUAUCAAUUAAGUCUAACUUUUCUAUUGUUUCCUUUAGGAUCUCUGUUGCUUUAUUGGUUUUCUGUCUAGAGGAUCUGUCCAUUGAUGUGAGGGGGGUAUUUAGGUCUCCUACUAUGAUUGUAUUCUCAUCAAUAUCUCCCUUUAUGUCUGUUAAUAUUUGUUGUAUGUAUCUGGGUGCUCCUAUAUUUGGGGCAUAUAUGUUGAUGAUAGUAACAUCCUCUCCUUGGAUGGAUCCCUUAAUCAUUAAAUAGUGUCCUUCUUUGUCUUUCUUUAUGUCUUUUGUUUUAAAGUCUAUUUUGUCUGAUAUGAGCGUUGCGACUCCUGCUUUUCUGUCAUGUCUAUUGGCGUGAAAUAUUUUUCCCCACCCUUUCACUUUCAAUCUAUAUGUAUCUUUUGUCCUAAGGUGAGUUUCUUGUAGGCAGCAUAUUGAAGGUUUUUGCCUUUUUAUCCACUCAGCCACUCUGUGUCUUUUGAUUGGGGCAUUCAGUCCAUUGACAUUUAAGGUGAUAAUUGAUAGAUGAUUAUUUAUUGCCAUUUGAACCUCGUGUUCCAGUUGAUUCUAUGGUUCUCCAUUCUUCCUUUCUUUUUUUUUUUUUUUUUUUUUUUUUUUUUUUUGGUUGGAUGGUCUCCUGUUAUUAUCUGCUUGAGUGUAUUUUUUUUUUCAUUUUUUGCAAAUGCAAUAUUUGGUUUUGGCUUGUGGUUGCCCUGUUUUUUAAGUAUGCUAACCCCUUCCCAUAAUUGUGUGUUUUAGCCUGAUGGUCCUGUAAGUUCAAACACUUCAUUACUAUAUUAAAAUUAAGAAGAGAGACAUACAUACAAACAAAAAGGGUUAUUUACCUCCUAACAUCCCUUGCCCACAUUUUAUGGUUUUGAUGACUCUUUUUUAUUUUUUUCUUUUUAAUUUUAUUUUGUUUGAAGCA
rnacentral:lncRNA from 1 species